GCGGCGGAGCAUGCGGAUUAAUUCGAUGCAACGCGAAGAACCUUACCAAGGCUUGACAUACACCGGUAACGCCCAGAGAUGGGUGCCCCUUUGUGGUCGGUGGACAGGUGGUGCAUGGUUGUCGUCAGCUCGUGUCGUGAGAUGUUGGGUUAAGUCCCGCAACGAGCGCAACCCUCGUCCUAUGUUGCCAGCGGGUCAUGCCGGGGACUCAUGGGAGACUGCCGGGGUCAACUCGGAGGAAGGUGGGGAUGACGUCAAAUCAUCAUGCCCCUUAUGUCUUGGGCUUCACGCAUGCUACAAUGGCCGGUACAAAGGGCUUCGAUACCGCGAGGUGGAGCGAAUCCCAGAAAGCCGGUCUCAGUUCGGAUUGGGGUCUGCAACUCGACCCCAUGAAGUCGGAGUCGCUAGUAAUCGCAGAUCAGCAACGCUGCGGUGAAUACGUUCCCGGGCCUU
rnacentral:rRNA from 1 species